rnacentral:tRNA from 4 species
GGUCGGUUAGCUCAGUUGGUUAGAGCGUGGUACUAAUAAUGCCAAGGUCGGGAGUUCAAGCCUCCCACUGAUCA